GCAACGUGGGCCCCUGCGGCGGGGACUCCGGCGGUCCGCUCGCGCUCAACUUCGGCGGCCAGCGUGUGCUGAUCGGCGUGGUUUCGUUCCACUCAGCGAUGGGCUGCCGUGUGGGCUUCCCGGGCGGUUACGCGCGCGUCACUUCCUUCACGCCCUGGAUCCAGUCGCGUCUGUGAGAUGCCACCCGCGCCACUCCGCCUCCAACGCUUCAACUGACGAUACAUUGUCAAAAUCAUGCUCAUUAAACCGAUUUUUGAUAAUUA